AGACGAUGAAGCAGACGCCUGCUAGGCAUCUUUUAUGCUUUAGUAUCAACUUCUUUCAUUGUGUAGGAGUUACAGCGGAUUUCAUUCACAGUAGGAUUAUUUCUCGGUCGACCUUCUCUUGACAAGUAGGAUGAUAGCUGGGAUAAACAAUAAAUAGAAGAAUCAGCACUUUGCAAAAGAUGUCAGCACACUGAAGAGGAUGUCAACACUUUCUAUAAAUGUCAGGACUUUGUAGACGAUGUUGACUUCAAUUAAAAUAUCCAACCCAAACGUUUCAUAUAAACAGAUACGGAACAAUCCAAAGAGAUGUCUGUGCCAAGUGUUUCUCGCAACCUACCUGAUCAGCCGGCAACCACACAUAUUGCCUGAAGUCUCGUACAUAAGGAAGAUGAGGACGCCGCUGUCAGAAGAUUGUCACAUACCACAACAGAGACGCCCCCUGUCAGAAGA